AUUGAACGCUGGCGGCAUGCUUUACACAUGCAAGUCGAACGGUAACAGGCCGCACGGUGCUGACGAGUGGCAGACGGGUGAGUAAUACUUAGACACGUGCCCCGUCGUUGUGAGUAACUAAUCGAAAGAGUAGCUCAUACCGCAUACGGUCUAUGAUUGAGAGCGGGGUACCUCAAGAGCUCAAGAGGUUCGUGCGGCCGAUGUUAGAUUAGGUAGUUGGUGGGGUAAAGGCUCACCAAGCCAACGAUCUGUAGGUGGUCUGAGAGGACGACCAGCCACACUGGGACUGAGACACGGCCCAGACUCCCACGGGAGGCAGCAGUGGGGAAUUUUGGACAAUGGGCGCAAGCCUGAUCCAGCAAUGCCGCGUGAAGGAAGAAGGCCUUCGGGUUGUAAACUGCUUUUGUACGGAACGAAACGGCUCUGGUUAAUACCCGGGGAUAAUGACGGUACCGAAAGAAUAAGCACCGGCUAACUACGUG
rnacentral:rRNA from 1 species